CACCAUUAACUCCUCACUGGGGAGACCUUGGGCCUCGGUUUUUUAUUCAUAGAAUGCAUGUUGAAUAAACCAUGUGGGAAAAAGCAGAGCCAGCACCAGCCCCUGCUGACUCACUGAUCCCUCGGAAAGGUCUGGGAUGAGUCAAGUCUUCAGGGAAUAAGCAGCAAGGACUUGGAAUUCCUGAGCAAGCCUUGGGUUCCCCACGCCCUAGGAAGUCCCUCUGGAAGGGGAGCAGGACCUCUCCCACCAGAUGACGGAGUUCGCUUUCUCGCCCAGCGCAGCUCCCACCAGGCGUGAGCUGGCAGUCCAGAAGCGGCCCCAGAUGUGGCUACCCACCGCCCAGUCUGCUUCCCUGCCUCAAACCCCAGGGAGACAGAAAUUACCUAAAAAUGCAUAUCAUUGCCUUAUGCCAAGAUGAUUCAAAUAAGCCUGAGAAAGAGAGGCCAGCGCUAAAUACAGACUUGGCAGAACUACUUCACCCAGUAAACAUCUAAUCAGCACCUGCAGGAUCCUCAUUCUGCCCUUCUGGGCAGAGCACCACGAACUUUCCCUGAGUUAUUUUCUACCAACAAUUUAGAAUGAAUUGCUCGUGAAGUAGAAAUGAGGGGAAAAGCAACUAAUGGUGGUAGAACAAAGUAAUUUUUACAAUUAAAAGAAGUAGCUGCCAGAUGACAGAACAAAGUAGAGGACGGGAAAAUAAAUCAUUUUCAGGGAAAAAAUAUAUCUAUGACUAAUGGUUGUGAUUAUGUUUUUGUCGAUUGUGAUCCUGAAACUCAGGAAGCAAAUGGCAAUCUUGACC
rnacentral:lncRNA from 1 species